rnacentral:rRNA from 1 species
GAUGAACGCUGGCGGCGUGCCUAAUACAUGCAAGUCGAGCGAACAGACGAGGAGCUUGCUCCUCUGACGUUAGCGGCGGACGGGUGAGUAACACGUGGAUAACCUACCUAUAAGACUGGGAUAACUUCGGGAAACCGGAGCUAAUUCCGGAUAAUAUAUUGAACCGCAUGGUUCAAUAGUGAAAGACGGUUUUGCUGUCACUUAUAGAUGGAUCCGCGCCGCAUUAGCUAGUUGGUAAGGUAACGGCUUACCAAGGCGACGAUGCGUAGCCGACCUGAGAGGGUGAUCGGCCACACUGGAGCUGAGACACGGUCCAGACUCCUACGGGAGGCAGCAGUAGGGAAUCUUCCGCAAUGGGCGAAAGCUUGACGGAGCAACGCCGCGUGAGUGAUGAAGGUCUUCGGAUCGUAAAACUCUGUUAUUAGGGAAGAACAAAUGUGUAAGUAACUAUGCACGUCUUGACGGUACCUAAUCAGAAAGCCACGGCUAACUACGUG